rnacentral:rRNA from 1 species
UACGUAGGUGGCAAGCGUUGUCCGGAUUUACUGGGCGUAAAGAGCGCGCAGGCGGUCGUUCAAGUCGCGUGUGAAAGCCCCCGGCUCAACUGGGGAGGGUCACGCGAUACUGAUCGGCUCGAAGGCAGGAGAGGGAAGUGGAAUUCCUGGUGUAGCGGUGAAAUGCGCAGAUAUCAGGAGGAACACCGGUGGCGAAGGCGGAUCUCUGGGCCAUUACUGACGCUGAGGAGCGAAAGCGUGGGGAGCGAACAGG